GCACUGCUGAGGAGUCCCACAAUAGGACGAAAUAGCUAUCCAAUGC
rfam:Schistosoma curassoni strain Dakar, Senegal genome assembly, scaffold: SCTD_scaffold0005143